AAUAAGUGCAGUUUUACACUAUUCAUGUUCAACGUUUGACCGUUUGUCUUAUUUGAAUUUUUUUAUGAUUAGUAUUUUUAUUGCUAUUAGAUGAUAAAACAUGAAUAGUACUUUAUGUGUGACUAAAUAUUUUUAAAUUUUUCACAAAUUUUUCAAAUAAGACGAACGGUCAAACGUUGAACACGGAUAUCCACGGCUGCACUUAUU
rnacentral:pre_miRNA from 1 species